GUUGCCAUUUUAUUAUUUUUGUUUAAUGUUGUUGUUGAUGUGGCACGAGUAUUUGGACUGCAUAUUGCCCUGUGUGGAUCAAUUUAAGCAAUUCAGCUGAAUUUCUUGGAAUAUAUGUCUACUGAUUCACUUGUAUAACCAGAUUAAUCCAGAGCAGAUAAGCUGACAUUUGGGUGACGAAAUUUCAAUAAAAAAAUUUUUAGGGAGUGGAUAGGGAGCUACUUCUGAAGCUUCUUGUUUCAAUCAUCACACACAUUACUGGGUUUGAUAAAAUGAUUGCAGUAUACACGUUAUUCCAUCGUAUCUUUCAAAUGAAAGAAACAAAUACAAUUUUGUUAAUUGCAUUGGAGAGCAGAACUGAUUCAGUAUAUAAGCUUGGGGUAAUUUCUCUUAUGCACAAUUGUUCAUCAUCGGGUAAAUUGCUGAAAUAACCUCCGAAACCAGGUAAGUCCUGCAUAUACAGAUUCAUGCCAUAUGGUUAUUGGGUUGAUGGUAAUUUGCAUUUUCCAGGAUCAAAUAUCAUUGAUUCAUUGGUAUAUUUCAGAUCAUCUUUAUAGGCUUAAGCAUAACAUAUAAAAGGUGGAGCUUCAACAAAUUAGCGGUGCAAGAUACAAAAAGGAAAAGCCUUUUUUUUUCUUGUUCUUUUUUAAUUGGGAGCUGAUAAUUACUAGCAAGGAAAGAGUAAAAGGUGAAAAUGACAUACCAGUAAUUUACCUGCUAUACAGAAUGUCUUUCCGCAGUGCCCUUCCAUAACUAGUUUAUACAUUUACAUUCCUCCCUGAGAAGCACCGUCAUGAUCUCCAUGAGGACUGAUUCUUGCAGACCUUGGACGAAAUGGCCACAAGUUUGCCAAUUGCCUCCUCCACCUUAGGCACCUUCCAUUCCUGUCCUCUCCAUGCUCGCAUUCAUGAUGAUCAUCAGGUGCAUGAGUGCUACUUUCAGGAGCAAGUGGCAACUCCUUUCGACAAACUGGGCAAGUGUUGUGUAACCUUAACCAGGGCACAAUACAAUCAUUAUGGUAUAUGUGUUUGCAAGGCAGUUCCUUUGCCUCCCCUCCAAUCUUGAACUCUUCCUUGCAAACAGGACAAUUCGAUUCAUUCACCAAAUGACUUGCCUCGAUCUUCACCGUUGGUAUUGCGUCAAUAACUGAUUCGGGUGCCGGUGGUGGCCCUGGCCGGUCAUUUUGGCCCAGUUGUUCGAUCAAUUCGUUUAGACCUGGGCCGAAAAAGUAGUUUCUGGGAUUAACCCUGGGAGGCAUCGGAUUUUCAAGUUGCAAAUCGGGUUCAGUUGGAGCGAAAGGAUCUAUUGGUCUAAAGACGAUCCACGUUCUUGGUCUAAACUGGAGUCCUGGUUCAUCUUCCCUGUUCUCUCUCCCAUCUAAACUACGAUUUCGACGUCUCUGGGGACGGGUUUCAGCAUCUGGGUCCAAUCGAUUUCGUCUCCGAAACCAGGACCUGCCACGAGAUUCGGAUUCCAUAUUAUCAACGAGACCAAAAUUUAACCUUCUAAUUGGAGGGUCAAGCACGAGGGAGAGCGCUUCAAGUAAGCGAGCUUCAGGAGAGGGAUCAAAAGCAGUGAAAUCAACAACUAAUCUCGGUCUGUUCAUCUCAACUUCACAAAGGAACUGCCCGGAACAUCGGGGACAGAUGAUUUCAGAUGAGUCUGAUGGGGCAAUCCUGACCAUUCGAUGGCACUGGUAGCACCAGUACGGCUGGAAGGUUCUUGUGGUUGUGUCAUCGGAUCGUGUCCCCGGUGGGCUCAAAGACAUGGUUCUUUUUCUUGUGGGAUUGGUUUUUCAGGUUUCUGCUUUCUGGGUUUAUUGUUGUACUAAAAAAGAAUGUGCCUUAGGAUUUGGGAAGAAGAAAUCAAAAUGAGAGAAGAUAUAUAAACGUAUGUAAACAUAUGUAGAUGUAGUAAGAAAAGAAUGGCUUUUUUGGGUUGUAUAAAGCAAUCCUUUCUUUAUCUGUUUCCAUUUUCAGUCUCCAUCGAGAUGCUGUUAGGGUUUGCAGUCUCUUCAUUUGCACUGUUU
rnacentral:misc_RNA from 1 species